CCACCCUCACGCGUGAACGUCACCGAUAAGCGUUUCUCUCGCCCAAUUAGAGGGGCCGCCGGCUCGCGCGGGGUGGGAGCGAAGGUGCCGGGGAGUGUGGUGCCGGCCGGCUGGGCGGAGACGGGGGGCAGCCGGGAGGCGGAGGCAGCCGGCGAGAACCGGUGGGAGGUCGGCCCAGUAGGGCAGAAGUAGAGUGGGAAACAAUGUGGACUUCAGCCUUGAGCUGUCUCUCGCCCAGAAGAAGCCCCUUCUCCUCAGGCACAGGGUUUACUGACAGGCGGACGUCUCCAGGGUGAAAUGCGGCAGUGGGAAACACCUGUGGUGUCACUUCCGUGCGUAACUGGUGGAGACACGGGAGUCAGUCCCCACAGCCAGAUACUGCCGGCCUGGAAGACACCUCAAUGUGGGUCAGCGCUAGCUUUAUGAAAUAACGGCCUAUUUUUAGCUUCAGUUAGGCUGAUACUGUUCUAGUUACAUUUAACCAGUUACGCCUUUUUUCUGCGUGAUAUUUUACUGUCACUCUGCACAUUACAAGAGUCUGCAGAAGUUGUUUUUCAUCUAGAAAAUACAUAGCUCAAUUCUGAAUCUUGGCAGUUUGUGUUGGCUUGUACAAAGCACGGCCAGUUUGUGGCUUUGCCUAAAUUGUCUGAUUUUCUUUAACCUGAAGAGACCAUGGCUUGUACAGAGGAGGUUUUCAUGGUAGUCUACACCACAGAUGUGUUACUCAGUGUCUGUAUUACCUUUCACUCCACCUGGCUUCAAGUGAGCGUAAGCUAAUUUCUGACUGGGAGCCAUGUCUGCUAGGAUAAAACAUUCAGCUUUUCUGGGUUAUAAACUACAUCUGGGCUGCAUUUGUUUACAGUUGAGUGUUUUUAUUUUCUGACUUGACUCUGGGCUUCUGUCUGAUGUACUUGGAGCUGUUUCUACUUCUCCAUGUAAAACUUAUUGAAAAUAUGCACAGAAUCCUACCAAAUAAUAAGAUGAUCCCAAGGUUAAUGACUGCUUGGAAUAAUGUGGGGUUUUUUGUUGGUGGUUACAGUGAUAGGAAGCAUUUUAGGGAAGAAGAAAAAGUCAACACAGCUCCCCUCGUUAGUCAAGUUUGAAGUUUGUUCUGGAUAAAGUUCUGAGACAGAUCAAACAGUUCUUUACCUACUUUCGUCCACACUGUUGGGUUUUGGUGCUUUUUUUUUUCCUGCAACAAUGCAGGCUUUUGUUUACUUUUCAUUGCACAUUAAACUGAUCAGGAUUUUAGGAUCAAAUUACUUUCUGCGACAACAUCCUUUCAGUGCUGUGGCACAAUAGGUUGGAAAUAAGAGUCACUGGCAGUUUCUUUGAGACAGUAUACUCUAAGAAGAAAGGAUUUAGAUCAGAAAGCUUUUAGUCUAAAACCAUCAUUUAGUCUAAACCCAUGUGAUUUUUUUUUACUUUUUUUGUUUUUAAUACAAAAGAAUGCCUGUGUCAUUUUAACUAUUUAAGAUUAAUUUAUAUUGUGAUAGUCCCUAUCUGGACCCCCUAGUUGUGAUUAAUUAUAUCAUACUAGUUGGUACUUAAGAUGCAGUUCCUGUGCUUUACACUGUGAGGUGACAAGAAUUACAUGGAGUGUUACAAGUAGACUACAAUAAAGUAGUCCACUAUUUCAUGUAUCAUAGGACAGAGAGAUAUUUAUAGGAGAGACAGACAAGUGGGUAGUUACAAGGUGCCAGCUAGUGAACUGGUGAAACAAUUUGAGUUGAGGAGGCAGAAAAUAACAGGAAGAGAAAAGGCUCCUGAAGAACUUGAAAGAUUUAAAAAAAUGCUUGUAAAGAGAAGUGGGGUGAAUUAAUAAGUAAUUGACAUUAUUAGUCUGAGGAGCAAAGAUGUGAUCAUCACCAGUAUUACAGUAUUAGGAAAAAUAAUACCACUUUUAUGAUAAGAGGUUAUAAUAGGGUAGAAUUUGAAUAUAUUUUUUAAGCAGUUUGAGUCAAAAAUAAAAUCUGGGCAUUGCCUGAAUGUCUAGCCCUUACCUAGUCUACUAUAACCAGUACUUUUAGAAAGUUUUAAUAGGAAGUUGUGUGUUAAACCAGUGAAUUUAAAGAAUACCAGUUUCAAAAAUCAUAAUGGUAAGAUAUACAUUAUGAUUACUUUGUUUUAGAAAACCUGGUGUUUUGUAAUCUCUAGUAAUUUGAUGUUGCCUUAUUCUCUGACGUACAAUAGUGGAAAAGAUUCCCUAUUCACUUUCUUUAUGUAGAAGUCUAUAUACUUUAUAUGCUCUCUCAGCCAUUUUUGUCAAGAAUGGGAAUCCUAAUGUAGUUAGGAAGCAAUUUUUUUAAAUUUCUGAUCAUCUUUGUCAACUUUUAUGUACUUCCAAAACAUAUAUUAUUGUUUAACUCGAGGCAGAAGUAGAAGUAGUUUUCAGCAUGCAGUCACACAGUGUGCAUGCAUCACUUUGAAGUGGUUUGUAUUGAUUUCUUGCUAGUACAUAUGUUCUGGUUUGAGAAUGCCAUUCCUAUGGGAUUUAUGAAAGCUAAGCUUUAAAAUAUUGCUCUUAUGUUUGAAGUGUGUUAUCUAUAUGUAUAAACUAAUGUAAAUAUUACACAAAGACUAAAUAAAAAUUCAGAUUUUU